ACUAAAUAGAUACCCGGGUAGUCCACGCCCUAAACGAUGUCUACUAGUUGUUGGUGGAGUAAAAUCCAUGAGUAAACGCAGCUAAACGCGUGAAGUAGACCGCCUGGGGAGUACGGUCGCAAGAUUAAAACUCAAAGGAAUUGACGGGGGCCCGCACAAGCGGUGGAUUAUGUGGAUUAAUUCGAUGCAACGCGAAAAACCUUAACCUGGCCUUGACAUGCCACUAACGAAGCAGAGAUGCAUUAGGUGCCCGUAAGGGAAAGUGGACACAGGUGCUGCAUGGCUGUCGUCGGCUCGUGUCGUGAGAUGUUGGGUUAAGUCCCGCAACGAGCGCAACCCUUCGCCAUU
rnacentral:rRNA from 1 species